UAGGAAGAAUAAAUGUCAGAAUAAUUUUUUCCGAAUUUUUCACCAGUUUCUUUAUUUAUUUCAGUCUUUACUUAAGUAUAGCCUACUAACACUACCCGAGAUGAUAAUACAAAAUGUCCCUUGGGUGGGCACUGCUCUUUCAUUGUUUUGUCUUUAUUCAAGCCUACAGACUCUUGGCCUCUUCUGUGCUUUUUUGGUGAAUGUGUUAGGUUCAUUAGCUCUAAAACUUGGGGAUGGUCUAGCUACUUCAGGAAUUAUCCAGCAAAAUAAAAAUCCGUUUUAUAUAUUUGCCACUUGCUAUACUUUGUAUGCUAUGUUUUCGGUUCUUGUGGAACUUGGAAUAAAUAUUUGGACUCUGAGCUGGAGCAGCCUGCAUAUGUUUCCUCAACAACGAAAAAUGAUUUUAAUGAAUCAAUAUUUGCCAUCAUUACUGCUGCAUCUUAUGCUUGUCAUGACGUGCACCACUGCGCUUUCCUUGUAUGCACCGUACCUGU